AGAUAAUAGAUACCCGGGUAGUCCAUGCCGUAAACGUUGGGAACUAGGUGUGGGUCUCAUUCCACGAGAUCCGUGCCGCAGCUAACGCAUUAAGUUCCCCGCCUGGGGAGUACGGCCGCAAGGCUAAAAACUCAAAGGAAUUGACGGGGGCCCGCACAAGCGGCGGAGCAUGCGGAUUAAUUCGAUGCAACGCGAAGAACCUUACCAAGGCUUGACAUACACCGGAAUCACUCAGAGAUGGGUGCGUCUUCGGACUGGUGUACAGGUGGUGCAUGGUUGUCGUCAGCUCGUGUCGUGAGAUGUUGGGUUAAGUCCCGCAACGAGCGCAACCCUCGUUCUAUGUUGCCAGCACGUCAUGGUGGGGACUCAUAGGAGACUGCCGGGGUCAACUCGGAGGAAGGUGGGGAUGACGUCAAAUCAUCAUGCCCCUUAUGUCUUGGGCUUCACGCAUGCUACAAUGGCCGGUACAAAGGGCUGCGAAACCGCGAGGUGGAGCGAAUCCCAAAAAACCGGUCUCAGUU
rnacentral:rRNA from 1 species